rnacentral:rRNA from 1 species
CCUACGGGUGGCUGCAGUGAGGAAUAUUGGUCAAUGGCCGGAAGGCUGAACCAGCCAAGUCGCGUGAAGGACGAAGGUGCCAAGCAUUGUAAACUUCUUUUGUCAAGGGAUAAAAUCAGGCACGAGAGCCUGAUCGAGGGUACUUGAAGAAAAAGCAUCGGCUAACUCCGUGCCAGCAGCCGCGGUAAUACGGAGGAUGCGAGCGUUAUCCGGAUUUAUUGGGUUUAAAGGGAGCGUAGGGGGACUGUUAAGUCAGUGGUAAAAGUCGGGGGCUCAACCGAGGCGAGCCGUUGAUACUGGCUGUCUUGAGAUGUCGAGAGGUAUGCGGAAUGCGCGGUGUAGCGGUGAAAUGCUUAGAUAUUGCGCAGAACUCCGAUUGCGAAGGCAGCAUACCGGCGGCGAUCUGACGCUGAGGCACGAAAGCGUGGGUAUCGAACAGGAUUAGAUACCCCUGUAGUC